rnacentral:rRNA from 1 species
UACAGAGGGUGCGAGCGUUAAUCGGAAUUACUGGGCGUAAAGCGUGCGUAGACGGUUAUUUAAGUCGGAUGUGAAAGCCCCGGGCUCAACCUGGGAAUUGCAUUCGAGACUGAAUAGCUAGGGUGCGGUAGAGGGAAGCGGAAUUCCCGGUGUAGUGGUGAAAUGCGUAGAUAUCGGGAGGAACACCAGUGGCGAAGGCGGCUCACUGGACCGGAACUGACGCUGAGGCGCGAAAGCGUGGGGAGCAAACAGG